UGCUUAGUACGGCGAGUGAAGCGGCAAAAGCUCAAAUUUGAAAUCGGCCAUCAGGUCGAGUUGUAAUUUGUAGAUUGUACUUUGAGAGCGGAUUAAAGUCUGUUGGAACACAGCGCCUUAGAGGGUGACAGCCCCGUUAAAAUCUAUUCUCAUUGUAAGGUACUUUCGAAGAGUCGAGUUGUUUGGGAAUGCAGCUCUAAGUGGGAGGUAAAUUCCUUCUAAAGCUAAAUAUUGACGAGAGACCGAUAGCGAACAAGUACUGUGAAGGAAAGAUGAAAAGCACUUUGAAAAGAGAGUGAAAAAGUACGUGAAAUUGUUAAAAGGGAAGGGUAUUGAAUCAGACGUGGUGCUGUUGUUCAACUUUGUUUCGGCAUGGUGUACUCAGCAGUACUAGGCCAAGGUGGGGUGUUUGGGAGUGAAAAAGGAAUAGGAACGUAGCUCUUCGGAGUGUUAUAAUCUAUUUUCAUAGCUCCUCAGGCGCCUCAGGACUGCGCUUCGGCAAGGACUUUGGCAUAAUGAUUCUAUACCGCCCGUCUU
rnacentral:rRNA from 1 species